rnacentral:lncRNA from 1 species
GAGAAUCAAGAUCCCAGGAAAGUCCAGGAAGCCUAGGAUCUAUAGGCCUGCAGCCUGCACUCAUACAAAUAAUAAUACUGUUUUGCUGCAGAAAGAUUCUGGUUGGAGCCUUCUGUGUCGUGAGGAGGGGACGUGGUUCCUGGCUGGAUACAGAACCCUCUCAAAUGGUUGUCUCCGACCCCGAGCCUUUUCCCCAAUGCAGACUCAUGGGCUAUGGAUCAGUCAUGUGACUCAGGGAGCUUACCUGGAGGACCAGCUAACCUGGGACUGGGGCCCUGAAGGAGAGGAGACUGAGAAACAGACAUGUCCCCCACACACUGAGCAUGGUGCCUGUGGCCUGAGGCCACAAUCCACUCCAGCUGGUGUGCUGUGGCCCUGGCUGACGGAGGUGCAUGUGACUGGUGAUAGAGUCUGCACAGGGAUUCUGGUGGCCCCAGGCUGGGUGCUAGCAGCCACUCACUGUAUUCUCAGGCUGGGCUCCUCAACAGUGCCUUACAUUGACGUAUAUCUGGGCCUGGCAGGGGUCAGCUCCCUCCCUCAGGGCCACCAGGUAUCUCGGUCUGUCGUCAGCAUCCGUCUUCCUCGGCAUUCUGGACUUA